rnacentral:rRNA from 1 species
GAUGAACGCUGGCGGCGUGCCUAAUACAUGCAAGUCGAGCGAACAGAUAAGGAGCUUGCUCCUUUGACGUUAGCGGCGGACGGGUGAGUAACACGUGGGUAACCUACCUAUAAGACUGGGAUAACUUCGGGAAACCGGAGCUAAUACCGGAUAACAUUUGGAACCGCAUGGUUCUAAAGUGAAAAAUGGUUUUGCUAUCACUUAUAGAUGGACCCGCGCCGUAUUAGCUAGUUGGUAAGGUAACGGCUUACCAAGGCGACGAUACGUAGCCGACCUGAGAGGGUGAUCGGCCACACUGGAACUGAGACACGGUCCAGACUCCUACGGGAGGCAGCAGUAGGGAAUCUUCCGCAAUGGGCGAAAGCCUGACGGAGCAACGCCGCGUGAGUGAUGAAGGGUUUCGGCUCGUAAAACUCUGUUAUUAGGGAAGAACAAAUGUGUAAGUAACUGUGCACGUCUUGACGGUACCUAAUCAGAAAGCCACGGCUAACUACGUG